AUUGAACGCUGGCGGCAGGCUUAACACAUGCAAGUCGAGCGGGGGAGGUUGCUUCGGUAACUGGCCUAGCGGCGGACGGGUGAGUAAUGCUUAGGAAUCUGCCUAUUAGUGGGGGACAACAUUCCGAAAGGAAUGCUAAUACCGCAUACGCCCUACGGGGGAAAGCAGGGGAUCUUCGGACCUUGCGCUAAUAGAUGAGCCUAAGUCGGAUUAGCUAGUUGGUGGGGUAAAGGCCUACCAAGGCGACGAUCUGUAGCGGGUCUGAGAGGAUGAUCCGCCACACUGGGACUGAGACACGGCCCAGACUCCUACGGGAGGCAGCAGUGGGGAAUAUUGGACAAUGGGGGAAACCCUGAUCCAGCAAUGCCGCGUGUGUGAAGAAGGCCUUCGGGUUGUAAAGCACUUUCAGUGGGGAAGAACCAAUUCAAGGCUAAUACCCUUGAGUCUUGACAUUACCUACAGAAGAAGCACCGGCAAACUCUGUGCCAGCAGCCGCAGUAAUAC
rnacentral:rRNA from 1 species